rnacentral:tRNA from 1 species
UAGAUUGAAGCCAGUUGUGUAGGGUUUUUAGCUGUUAACUAAAGUUUCGUGGGAUAGAUACCCGCCAAUCUAG